rnacentral:rRNA from 1 species
AAUAUUGGACAAUGGGCGGAAGCCUGAUCCAGCGAUGCCGCGUGUGUGAAGAAGGUUUUCGGAUGGUAAAGCACUUUAAUUUGGGAGGAAGGGUUUACACCUAAUACGUGUGAAGUUUGACGUUACUAUAAGAAUACGCACCGGCUAACUUCGUGCUAGCAGCCGCGGUAAUACGAAGGGUGCAAGCGUUAAUCGGAAUUACUGGGCGUAAAGCGCGCGUAGGUGGUUCGUUAAGUUGGAAGUGAAAGCCCCGGGCUCAACCUGGGAAUUGCUUUCAAAACUGGCGAGAUAGAGUACGGUAGAGGGUGGUGGAAUUUCCUGUGUAGCGGUGAAAUGCGUAGAUAUAGGAAGGAACAUCAGUGGCGAAGGCGACCACCUGGACUGAUACUGACACUGAGGUGCGAAAGCGUGGGGAGCAAACAGG